AGAAGAGACAUUAUAACACUGCUCCAUCAUUUGUGAAGCUUCCCAUUUACAUGGUGUUCCCAUUGGUGGUGACAUGGGGUGGGGGAGACUUGAACUCAGGUCCUUAAGCAUAGUAACAUGUGUGCUCUACUGGGCUGGCAUGUGAGGAAAGGCAGUGAAGGAAGAAAUCACACUGACAUGGGGGAAGAGGAAGCAAGCAUCAGGCCAAGUGACACCAGAGGAGCAUGGCUGCUUUCCAAGAAAGCCACCAAACUGUAGAUGCUACCAUGAUGCCAUCCUAACUUCCCUGGGCAGACAACUUCACCAAUGUGUCCUGGACCCUCACCUCUCCAGAGCCCCAUCACACUAGGGAAAGACAGAAACAGGCUAGGGGAAUGGAUCAGCCUGCCAAUGUCCAUGUUCAGCAGAGAAGCAAUUUCAUAAGUCUGACCUCCCACCUUCUGCAUACCAUAAUUUUGGUUCAUUCUCCCAGAAGGAUAAAGAGUAAGGAAGCUUCCAAUGGAGGAGACGGGAUGGAACUUUGGUGGUGGGAAUAGUAUGAAAUUGUACCCCUGUUAUCUUAAAAUCUUACUAAUCAUUAUUAAAUCAUUAAUUUAAAAAAGCUACAAAAAAUAGGCCAUGCCUUGGCUCCAAGUCAAAGCAGAACUGCAGGAUCCUGAGACCACUGUCCCCACACUCUGUGCUUGUCCCCUCCCCUCCUUUGGCUGUGCUUUGUGAAGCUUCCCCAUUGUGGCUGGUAGAAAGAAGUUGACUAAGCUUGUCUUCAUUGAAACUUAGCACUGUGUUAGACAUACCAGGUUUCCUUUGAAUACAGCAUUUACUAAAGGCCUCUUACGUAGCCAGAUCUGAUCACAAGGAGUUGUCUCCCCACCCCCAUCUUAGCUAUUUUUUUUUUAAAGAUUUAAUUUAUUGCAGAAGUACACUAGAGUUUGGAGUGAGUACCCCCCUAACACUUCCUCUCCACUAUUCCAACCUUUGGGUCCAUGAUUGCUCAACAAUUUGUUUGGCUUUGUAUGUUAACUCUCUUUUCAGCCACCAGGUGCCAGAUGCCAUCAGGAUGCCGGCCAGGCUUCCCUGGACUGAAGACCCUACCAAUGUGUCCUGGAGCUCUGCUUCCCCAGAGACCCACCCUACUAGGGAAAGAGAGAGGCAGACUGGGAGUAUGGACUGACCAGUCAACGUCCAUGUUCAGUGGGGAAGCAAUUACAGAAGCCAGACCUUCCACCUUCUGCAACCCACAAUGACCCUGGGUCCAUGCUCCCAGAGGGAUAGAGAAUGGGAAAGCUAUCAGGGAAGGGGAUGGGAUAUGGAGAUUGGGUGGUGGGAAUUGUGUGGAGUUGUACCCCUCCUACCCUAUGGUUUUGUUAAUUUAUCCUUUCUUAAAUAAAAAAAUAAAUUAAAAAAAAGAAUUAAAAACAAAAAAACAAAAAAAAGAUUUAAUUUAUUUAUUAAUGAGAAAGAUAGGAGGAGAGAGAGAAAGAACCAGACAUCACUCUGGUAGAUUUGCUGCCAGGGUUUGAACUCAGAGGACCUCAUGCUUGAGAGUCAAUGCUUUAUCCACUACGUCACCUCCCAGACCAUCAUCCAAAAUAAUUUUCUUUUUUUUUUUUUUCCUCCUCCAGGGUUAUUGCUGGGCUCGGUGCCUGCACCAUGAAUCCACCGCUCCUGGAGGCCAUUUUUUCCCCCCUUUUGUUGCCCUUGUUGUAGCUUCGUUGUGGUUAUUAUUAUUGCC